AGAAAUGUAGGGGGGCCAGGCGGUGAUGCACCUGGUUAAGCGCUCACAUUACAGUGCGCAAGGCUCAAGCCCCUGGCCCCCACCUCAGGGGGAAAGCUUCACAAGUGGUGAAGCAGGGCUGCAGGUGUCUCUCUGUCUCUCUUCCUCUCUAUCUCCCCUUCCUCUCUCAAUUUCUCUCUGUCUCUAUCUAUACAAUAAUAAAGAAAUAAAUUAAAUUAAAAAAAAAUAAAAUCCAGAAAAGUGAAACUUAAAGGACAGACUAAAGUUUGACUAAUUACUAGACUUAAUGGUUUAGUAAUAGGAAUUCCAGAAAAAUAAAGGGAUAGAAGAAAACUAAAGAUUUGAUUAUUUAGAUUACCCUGUCCUUUGUGGAUUUAAUGAAAAGACACAUAAGGAAGUGUUCUGGAGGAAAAGUAAAGAGAAUAACCUGAGGACACAUUAAAGCAGGACCUUCCAAGCCAGAGGGAAAAAAGGUGGGAAGUCUGCUGGGAGCUAUACAGUGACGCAGGUGUGAAGCACCAGUGAAAAGCGUAGCAGAAGAAAAAAAAAAUCAAAAUAGUGGAGUGGAGAUGAUAUUCCAUGAAAAUGCUCACUACAAGCCCUGCAGAAGUGAUGCCGUCACCAAGUUGCAGAUGCUACCAUGACACCAACCUGACUUCUCUGGGAAGAUGACAUCACCAAUGUGUCCUGGAAUCUCACCUCUCCAGUGCCCUACCCCACUAGGGAAAGAGAGAGACAGGCUGGGAAUAUGGAUCAACCUGCCAAUGCCAUGUCCAGCAGAGAGCAGUUACAGAAGCCAGACUUUCCACCUUCUACCCCAUAAUGUUGCUGGGUCCAUCUUCCCAGAGGGAUAAAGAAUAGGAAAGCUUCCAAUGGAGGGGGGUGGGAUACAGAACUCUAUAGUGUUUGGAAUUGUGUGGGAUUGUACCCUUCUUAUCCUAUGGUCUUGUCUAUCAUUAUUAAAUCGAUUAAAAAAAAGAAGUUCACAGUUUAAAUUCAUUUAUGUUGCACAUAUUAGCUUUUCACUGGCAGCUAAACCUAUAAAAACUAUAUGAAUUUGUGUGGUCUGGGCGGUGGCAGUGGAUAAAGCAAGGACUCUCAAGCAUGAGGUCUUGAGUUCAAACACCGGCAGCACAUA